CACCUUUAGAGCUCACCUAUAACACGAAAAAUUUGACGAAACUAGGCAGACUGUUUCGUCUCGCCCGCCAGUUCAAUCGGGCGGCCGCGCUCACCUUCGCUUUUUAUUUUUUCACCCAUCGUCGUCGAGUUCUAUCUCCAAUCGGGCCAAGGGCGGGGCAGUGCAGGCAUGGGGAUUGAGCACCUACGUCGACAUCUGGUGUUGGGGUCACACCACCGCCGUUGUGGUCCUUCGUAGCAGCGCAGCGGCGUCUACGCCGCUUCCGAGCACAAAUCAACGAGCAGCCAUGGCGAAUCAGUCCCACCACGAAUGCGUCUCCCGAGCCCCCUAAUCCUCGGCGGCUGCCGGUUAGUCACGUUACUCAAAUAUUUUGAUGAAUGCCAGGUGAGCUCCUCCCCCACCAUCGCCGCAACUGUCCACGGCCAGGUCAGUGUCACGCACUCGGGCCUGAACAAGCUCGUGCUCUACUUCAUUCGAGCCACCAACAUGCGGUCACUGUGUGUCUCUGACACAAUUUUUUUCUGGAGACAUAAAGUUCCAUGAAAAUUAAAGCACACCAACCUCAGCUGAAACCAAAAUCUGAAAAAGAUUCAAAAUGCUUUGAAUCAAGUGAUGCAUUUUGGUAUGAUUAGAGAGGGAGGGCGAGAGACAGAGAGGAAGGUAGAGGUUCUGCUGCAGCGAGGACUGAGGAGCUGUGGAUAUCAGUGCCCUCGCUCCCUGCCUGAUCACCAUGAUCACCAGGUAAAAUCUUGUGGUUUCCUCAAUGGGCUGCGGAGCAAAUGCUAUCUGCUCCCCUUCAAAUAAUGAAAGGUAUACCCCUGAUCAGUGACCACUAUGUUGCUUUAAAUUUUUCUGCCCCUGGUAAUUUUUGCUCUAUGCAUUCUAUGUGAUCUUCAUGUUUGAAGUGAUGAUUUUAUUUAUUUAAUUUCGUCCUUCCCAGAAAGGUUAGCAAUAUGUGCCUCUUUGUGCUGUAGUUUUGGAUUAAGGCAUUGGUGACCCAAGAAAUUGAGGUUGGAAAACUGCAGGAGGAAUGCUGAGGGUGUUGGCAUCAAUGUAGAUGUGGAUGAGGCCAUACUGAGGUUUAUUCCUGGAGCAUGCAUGCAUUUAUUUUUGGACUCAUUUAUUGAGGAAUUAGGGAGAACAAUUGCUAGCACCUGAGGUUGUUCGCAAGUCUUUGUUACUUUUAAAAAAUGGCAAGGAUCAGAAGGAGCUCCACCAUUUAUAUUGGAUAAAACAGCAAACAAAAAAAAAGGUUGCAAGAUGUGCUGAAAAUAGGAUCUCAUUGUGCUGGGUGGAUGAUUGCAUGGCAUGAAGAAAGUGGAAAAAUAUCUCUCGGUAAGAAAAAAUGGAUCUUCGCAAAUGUUUUUAGCAUAGUUAGUUGUUCGCAUGAUUGCUUCAUACAAUCAUUUUAUAUUUGUUCUUUUUAGGCAUUGCAGGUUUUUUUUUCUCAAUCAAUUAUUGCUCCAAUUCAUUGCAACAUGCUGAAUUGCUGAUCACUGAAAUUUGUGGAUGCGCCUGAUCUGAAACUAUAGUACAGAUGAUACAAAGUCAAGUUUGCCUCUAUAACCCCAAAAAGGAUGCUUAAUUAGUGUAAAGAGGAUGCAUCUUUACCUACCAUAACACUUAAAAAAACUUAACAAGGUUUUAGAGAUAGCUGGUCAUUCAUCUAUGCAUUCUAAGAGCUAUUGUGUUCUAUGAAUCAUUUGUUUGGUUGCAAGGUGCAUGUAUUGCAAAUAAGAAGCAUCAUGAAGUUAACGGCAUAAAUAUGAGAAAUACAGAAGAGCAUGUCAGUGUUUUUUGUACAUGCAUAUCUACUCACAUCAGGUAUAUUUGUAAAGUUUGGUACUUUUGUUAUACCUUUAUAAAGUGCUUUAAAUUUUUUAGAAAAACAUUCAUAACAAUAUCACAAGACGUUUUCUCAGAUGGUGUCGUAUGGUUUUAUUGUUUGCAUGUGGGAUUCUUGGGAGACCUGUCUUUCGACACACACCUAUGCACUUCCAUAUUGCUAGGGUAAUAAGCUUCCACACUCUAAUAAACAUGUUGGAGGGCUACUUCUUGGUUUUGUUUUGUUUUUCCUCGUCACAUAAUGCAAGGAUAAUAAGCGUAUUUCCAGUUUGUUAAGGGUGUGGAUCUGCACUCAAAUGAUUUAGAGUUCACAUUACAAGAAUCUUUCCAGCCAGUGCGCCUGUGGAUCUGCAGCUCAAGCGGUGGUUCCCUGCGAGCGUCGAUUGGCUGAUCUCGGCGCGAGGAUUUGAUGUUGGAGUUCUAUCCACCAUGUAGCUCGUCCGCAGCCUUGCGCCUGUGCAAACGCCGGCAUCCUCAUCGUGGCUGCAGGACGUCCAGUUAUGUAACCUGCUGGCUGUGCUCUUGUUGCUCAUCCAUUGAAGGCUUGUUGCUGACCCAUGUGUGUGGUUCCUCAUGUAAAAUGGCAUCGCUACUCUAUAAGGACUCUUCUCAAGGCGACAAUCAGAAACUGUGAUAAAUUUGAGAUCAUUGCCACUGGUAAGGAUGUCAAGAAGAUUACUGAUUGGGAGAAUAGUGCACCAAAGGUCCAAAGCAAGUUGAAAUUCCAUUCAAGUCAGCCUAUGAUUCUCUCUUGUACUGAUUGCAACAGUUUUUUGUUCGUGUAUAUCCAACUUUGAGUUGGAAAUAUUCAUGUUAAUAGCUUUUGGUUCCAGUAAUCUUGCAAUUGGAUCGGAUUCAACUUUUUUAUUCUAUCUGAAAUACUUGUAUAGAGAGUUUACAUAGUACUUCACUUGGGACAAGGAUAAAAUAUUAUGGAAGCCUAGAGAA